rnacentral:misc_RNA from 1 species
AACGCACCUUGCGCCCUUUGGUAUUCCGAAGGGCAUGCCUGUUUGAGUGUCAUUAAAUUCUCAACCUCCCCUUCUUUCAUUAGGAGUGCGGUGGAUUGGAUAUGGGGGUUUGCUGGUUUCUAACGAGAUCAGCUCCUCUGAAAUGCAUUAGCAGAAACCGUUUGACUUUGGCUGCUAGGCUGUGAUAAUAUCUACGCCUUGUGGUUAGGUCGGAAUACGAGUCAUACAGUGGUAACUAAUCAGGCUUUCGGGUCUGGCUUAGAAUCGGUUUGGAAGGUGCUUAACGGCUCCUUCUGCUUUCUCCCUUUGCGGAGAUACUUGUCCGAUUUUAAGAGAGGAGUUGCUUAGCGCGAGCUUAGCUUUCCUUGAUUUUUCCCUUUGACUUUGUAGAAGGAUUCAGCUUCUAACCGUCCAUUGACUUGGACAAUUUAUUGACUAUUUGACCUCAAAUCAGGUAGGACUACCCGCUGAACUUAA